GAUGAACGCUGGCGGCGUGCUUAACACAUGCAAGUCGAACGAAGCACUUUAACCUGAUUUCUUCGGAAUGAAGGUUUUUUUGACUGAGUGGCGGACGGGUGAGUAACGCGUGGGUAACCUGCCUUAUACAGGGGGAUAACAGUUAGAAAUGACUGCUAAUACCGCAUAAGACCACGGAGCCGCAUGGCUCAGUGGGAAAAAACUCCGGUGGUAUGAGAUGGACCCGCGUCUGAUUAGGUAGUUGGUGGGGUAACGGCCUACCAAGCCAACGAUCAGUAGCCGACCUGAGAGGGUGACCGGCCACAUUGGGACUGAGACACGGCCCAAACUCCUACGGGAGGCAGCAGUGGGGAAUAUUGCACAAUGGGGGAAACCCUGAUGCAGCGACGCCGCGUGAGCGAAGAAGUAUUUCGGUAUGUAAAGCUCUAUCAGCAGGGAAGAAAAAUGACGGUACCUGACUAAGAAGCACCGGCUAAAUACGUGCCAGCAGCCGCGGUAAUACGUAUGGUGCAAGCGUUAUCCGGAUUUACUGGGUGUAAAGGGAGCGUAGACGGCUGUGUAAGUCUGAAGUGAAAGCCCGGGGCUCAACCCCGGGACUGCUUUGGAAACUAUGCAGCUAGAGUGUCGGAGAGGUAAGUGGAAUUCCCAGUGUAGCGGUGAAAUGCGUAGAUAUUGGGAGGAACACCAGUGGCGAAGGCGGCUUACUGGACGAUGACUGACGUUGAGGCUCGAAAGCGUGGGGAGCAAACAGGAUUAGAUACCCUGGUAGUCCACGCCGUAAACGAUGACUACUAGGUGUCGGGGAGCAAAGCUCUUCGGUGCCGCAGCAAACGCAAUAAGUAGUCCACCUGGGGAGUACGUUCGCAAGAAUGAAACUCAAAGGAAUUGACGGGGACCCGCACAAGCGGUGGAGCAUGUGGUUUAAUUCGAAGCAACGCGAAGAACCUUACCUGCUCUUGACAUCCCGGUGACCGGCAUGUAAUGAUGCCUUUUCUUCGGAACACCGGUGACAGGUGGUGCAUGGUUGUCGUCAGCUCGUGUCGUGAGAUGUUGGGUUAAGUCCCGCAACGAGCGCAACCCUUAUCUUCAGUAGCCAGCAAUUCGGAUGGGCACUCUGGAGAGACUGCCAGGGAUAACCUGGAGGAAGGUGGGGAUGACGUCAAAUCAUCAUGCCCCUUAUGAGCAGGGCUACACACGUGCUACAAUGGCGUAAACAAAGGGAAGCGAGCCUGCGAGGGUAAGCAAAUCUCAAAAAUAACGUCUCAGUUCGGAUUGUAGUCUGCAACUCGACUACAUGAAGCUGGAAUCGCUAGUAAUCGCGAAUCAGCAUGUCGCGGUGAAUACGUUCCCGGGUCU
rnacentral:rRNA from 1 species